rnacentral:siRNA from 1 species
AUACACACAAAAUGGUGCGUA